rnacentral:rRNA from 1 species
CAGUCGCCGCGGGAAUACGUAUGUCACAAGCGUUAUCCGGAUUUAUUGGGCGUAAAGCGCGUCUAGGUGGUUAUGUAAGUCUGAUGUGAAAAUGCAGGGCUCAACUCUGUACUGCGUUGGAAACUGUGUAACUAGAGUACUGGAGAGGUAAGCGGAACUACAAGUGUAGAGGUGAAAUUCGUAGAUAUUUGUAGGAAUGCCGAUGGGGAAGCCAGCUUACUGGACAGAUACUGACGCUAAAGCGCGAAAGCGUGGGUAGCAAACAGGAUUAGAUACCCCUGUAGUCCCUGUCUCUUAUACA